rnacentral:rRNA from 1 species
AGCAGCCGCGGUAAUUCCAGCUCCAAUAGCGUAUAUUAAAGUUGUUGCAGUUAAAAAGCUCGUAGUUGAAUUUCGGGAUCAAUAUGUCGGUCGUGCCUCGGUACGUACUGGCGUAAUUGGUUUCUCCCUUCUGAAGAACCUCGAUGUCAUUAAUUUGGUGUCGUGGGGAAUCAGGACUGUUACUUUGAAAAAAUUAGAGUGUUUAAAGCAGGCUCGCGCUUGAAUACAUUAGCAUGGAAUAAUGAAAUAGGACGUUUGAUUCUAUUUUGUUGGUUUCUAGGAUCGACGUAAUGAUUAAUAGGGAUAGUUGGGGGCAUUAGUAUUCAAUUGUCAGAGGUGAAAUUCUUGGAUUUAUUGAAGACUAACUACUGCGAAAGCAUUUGCCAAGGAUGUUUUCAUUAAUCAAGAACGAAAGUUAGGGGAUCGAAGACGAUCAGAUACCGUCGUAGUCUUAACCAUAAACUAUGCCGACUAGGGAUCGGAUGAUGUUAAUUUUUAAUGACUCAUUCGGCGCCUUACG